AACGAACGCUGGCGGCAUGCCUAACACAUGCAAGUCGAACGAGACCUUCGGGUCUAGUGGCGCACGGGUGCGUAACGCGUGGGAACCUUCCCUUAGGUUCGGAAUAACUCCCCGAAAGGGGUGCUAAUACCGGAUAAUGUCUUCGGACCAAAGAUUUAUCGCCUGUGGAUGGGCCCGCGUUGGAUUAGCUAGUUGGUAGGGUAAAAGCCUACCAAGGCGAAGAUCCAUAGCUGGUCUGAGAGGAUGAUCAGCCACACUGGGACUGAGACACGGCCCAGACUCCUACGGGAGGCAGCAGUGGGGAAUAUUGGACAAUGGGCGAAAGACUGAUCCAGCAAUGCCGCGUGAGUGAUGAAGGCCUUAGGGUUGUAAAGCUCUUUUACACGGGAUGAUAAUGACAGUACCGGGAGAAUAAGCGCCGGCUAACUACGUG
rnacentral:rRNA from 1 species